rnacentral:rRNA from 1 species
UAUAGACAGCAGGACGGUGGCCAUGGAAGUCGGAAUCCGCUAAGGAGUGUGUAACAACUCACCUGCCGAAGCAACUAGCCCUGAAAAUGGAUGGCGCUUCAGCGUCGACCCCAUACCCGGCCGCCGCGGCCGAAAAGCCUCGUGUUUUAAGCCGCGGUGAGUAGGAGGGGCGCGGAGGCGAGCGUCGAAGGUGCCGGGCGUAAGCCCGCCUGGAGCCGCCUCCGGCGCAGAUCUUGGUGGUAGUAGCAAAUACUCAAGUGAGAACCUUGAGGACUGAGGUGGAGAAGGGUUCCAUGUGAACAGCAGUUGAACAUGGGUCAGUCGGUCCUAAGGGAUAGGAGAAAUCCGUUCCGAGGCGGGACCUCUCUAUUAACGAAAGUCCCGCUGAUGACCGAAAGGGAAUCGGGUUAAUAUUCCCGAACCCGGACGCGGAGAUCGUCCUCUUCGGAGGUACAUUGCGGUAACGCAAACGAGCUCGGAGACGUCGACGGGAGCACCGGGAAGAGUUAUCUUUUCUUUGUAAGGAUUCGACUCCCUGGAAUCGGCUCGCCCGGAGAUAGGGAUGGUGUUUCCGUAAAGCACCGCGCCUCUUGCGGUGUCCGGAUCGCUCCCGUCGGCCCUUGAAAAUCCGAGUGAGAGAUAGUGAUUUUCGUGCCGGACCGUACCCAUAUCCGC